rnacentral:lncRNA from 1 species
UCCUAUGUAAACACUUUUCUUAGAGUUGUAAGGCACUUAAAUGACUUUUUAUGUAACCUCCUCUAGCAAUCUUAAUAUCAGGGUUUUCGUCCACAGAACAGCGUCCUUUGCGAAGGGGCAAAGCGUCCUCAUCUAGCCUUGCUCCUGACUGGCAGCAGCUUGCCUGGCACCCACCCCUGCCUAGGUGCGCGUUUGAUAAAUGUCUUGCCGGCGGCGACGUUCAGUUGCCAUUCUCCACCACGCCGUGCACCUGCUCAGCAUCUCGCAGUCUCCACGGCCAGUCCCCGAGCCCAGGACCCCUCCCUCGCCGCACGGCCCCCUCCGUUCAUCCCGCCCGGGCCCUGGCGGAAACUGCCCGACCCCAGGCGGGAGCGGCGGGGCGGGCGGGGAAAGUGCUCGUAAUCACAUGGAGGCCCGGGCCCGCCCCAUUGGCUGCGGCCGGGCCAGUCGCAGCGCUCGCAGGCUGCGGUUGGUCCCGGAGCUGCAGCGCCUGCUCGGGCCCGGAGUCCAUGUUACGCUUUGUCUAAUUCCCCUCGUUACAGAGUCAUGUGCUGCUGCUCCAGUCGCCGUCGCUGCCGCCGCCCGUGGUGCCCCGGCUCCUCCGCCGCGCUUCGAGGUGGCCGCCGCGGGCGGGGCCGCGGGAGCAGGGUCCAGGGCGCCGCGCACCCCCGCCGCCCCGGCGCGUCCCGGAGCAGCCGCCGCCUGCCGCAGGUGAUGCCUCCGCCUCCCGCCUCCGCCUAAGCCGUGGCUCGGCGGCCGAGCUGCCCCAAAGGAAGUGCACGGCCGGGGUCCCAGGAUGGAGGAGUGAAGUCUCGCGCCGCGGUCCCAGCCUCCGGAGCCCGCCCGAAGCCCAGUCCCCGAGAGCGCCCUGACGGAGCAGGGUGGCCGCCGGGUCCAGGCAUGCUACAUCAGCUGUUCAACAGACAUUUGCUGAUCUCCUUCCCUGUCUUCUUCCUACGUCCUUGCACUAGUCAUGGUACAGUAUUAAGUUCUGAGGAUACAAUGGGCACCAUGAAAUGACUAGUUUUGCUCCACCACACACUUCUGCCAUAGAGCCAGCUUACCAUGGACUGAUACCUCUUCCACUAUGAGCCAAACAAACCAUUUCCUCCUUGAAGUUGUGUAUGUCAGGCACUUUUUCCCAGCAGUGGGAAAGCUGACUAAUAUGGUAAGGGAGGGGAUGGUCUUGCAUUUGUUUCAGUUGUUUCUCUCUUUGCAUUUUCUUUUCACUACUCUUUUCUCUAAGUUAAAAGUGUGGCAUUGUGGAAAAGAAUUGAAUGGCUGGAGAAAGUUAAAUAUUUGUAGCACCUUGCCUUAGGAAUCCUUUCUUCUUGUUUCUUCUUUCACUGCACCUUGAGUUUGUCUAUAGAGAAACUGGGAAGAGGUGGAAGCAUUUCAUCACUCUGUUGAGUUGGGUCUGUACUGCCCUUUGCAGGUUUACUCGUCAAGCCAUUGGUUGUCUACUCCUC